CUUCCGGGGUCUGUAGCUGGAGCGCCGGAGUAAGAGCAGGAUCAGCUGAACCUCAGAAGAAAUGAAGAAUAUUCUCCUGAAAUUCAUAUUUAAAUAAGAGCAAUGUUAAACUGCUGAAAGAGGUGAAGCAGAAGCCAUCCUGAAGAAUCUCCAGAACACACAGAAAUUGUUUGAUACAUUUAACUGACAAAUGAAGCCAAGUCUCGACAUGGAGAAACAUCAGCACUCUGUCAAGACUUUUACUCAACAGAGUAAUCUCAAAAAACUCCAGCGCAUUCACACAGGAGAGAAACCGUAUCACUGCUCAGAUUGUGGGAAGAGUUUUACUGCACAGAGUAAUCUCAAAAAACACCAGCGCAUUCACACAGGAGAGAAACCGUAUCACUGCUCAGACUGUGGGAAGAGAUUUACUAUACAGAGUACUCUGAAAAUACACCAGCGCAUUCACACAGGAGAGAAACCGUAUCACUGCCCAGACUGUGGGAAGAGUUUUACUAAACAGAGUAAUCUCAAAAAACACCAGCGCAUUCACACAGGAGAGAAACCGUAUUACUGCACAGACUGUGAGAAGAGUUUUAAUCGACAGAGUACUCUCAAAAAUCACCAGCGCAUUCACACAGGAGAGAAACCGUAUUACUGCUCAGACUGUGGGAAGAGUUUUACUAAUCAGAGUAAUCUCAAAAGUCACCAGCGCAUUCACACAGGAGAGAAACCUUAUCACUGCUCGGACUGUGGGUUGAGUUUUACUCAACAGCAUACUCUCAAAAACCACCAGCGCAUUCACACAGGAGAGAAACCAUAUUCCUGCUCAGACUGUGGGAGUAGUUUUACUAAACAGACUACUCUCAAAAUGCACCAACGCAUUCACACAGGAGAGAAACCGUAUCACUGCUCAGACUGUGGGUUGAGUUUUACUCAACAGAGUACUCUGAAAAAUCACCAGCGCAUUCACACAGGAGAGAAACCGUAUUCCUGCUCAGACUGUGGGAGUAGUUUUACUAAACAGUGUACUCUCAAAAAACACCAACGCAUUCACACAGGAGAGAAACCAUAUCACUGCUCAGACUGUAGAAGGAGUUUUUCUGAACAGGGUAAUCUCAAAAAACACCAGCGCAUUCACACAGGAGAGAAACCGUAUUACUGUUCAUACUGUGGGAGGAGUUUUACUCAACAGAGUAAUUUCAAAAUACAUCAGCGCAUUCACACAGGAGAGAAACCGUAUCACUGCUCAGACUGUGGGAAAAGUUUUACUAAACAGAGUAAUCUCAAACUGCACCAGCGCAUUCACACAGGAGAGAAACCAUAUUACUGCUCGUACUGUGGGAGGAGUUUUACCACACAUAGUGAUCUCAAAAUACAUCAGCGCAUUCACACAGGAGAAAAACUGUAUCACUGCUCAGACUGUGGGAAAAGUUUUACUCAACAGGGUCAUCUCAAAAAACACCAGCGCAUUCACACAGGAGAGAAAACUAUUGCAAAUUUGUUCCACGGCAAUUAAAAGAGCAAAUCAUCUUUAGAACAGAACACCUUAUCCUACACAAAUGUUUCACUUUGUCACUUAGGACACGUUCCACCAGAAACAAACAUGAACUGAAUUUAACAAUGGAUUUUACAGGUUCAGCAAAAUUAAUCUUAUCCAGCGAUCAUGUUUAUUGCAUUCCAUGUUAUGUUUUUUUUGUAUGUUCAAUAUUCCAGGACAUUCUUCGUGAGACAGAGCUCAGUUUUUAGGUAGUUACGGUAGGAGUUCAGUUCUGAAAAAGGGAAAAAACAAAGUCUUUAAAAUUUAGAUGUGAUAGUUAGAGUAGGAUUCUUAGCUGGCAACUAAACAUUUCGACCAAAUCGUCAGAGCUUAUGAUUUGAAUGCUUUUAAUGUCCUUUCUAGUUUAUGCAGAUUUGAUUAUUUCUAUUAAUUUCUAGUAUCUCUUUUUUCACUCUGUGGAAGCCGUACAAAGUUCCCCAAGCUUAGCAUAGCAUAGCUUAAUGCUAUUAACCGCUAGGCCCAUCUGUAUGAAAGAAGAACUGAAAACACCACCUGAGGAACUCCAGAGUGUGCUCCCAAAAGUGAGACCCAGAGCCACAGAGAGACGACACUGUGCCAGGUACUGCCCUGUGGACCGGAGGAGCAUCCAGACUCUGCAGAGAGGCCAACAAAAUCCUUUCCAGAGGUUAAAUAAAACGCUCCAUCUGUAGUUCCCAUACUGAAAUCAACCUCCUCCAGGCUUGUGUAGCGCAGUGAGGUUGUGGGCUCAUUCAUUCCCUCUGAUGGUGUUCUUGUUUGUCUAUGGUUCAGUCGUUCUGAUUAAAAAUCUGUUACCAUAGAGGGACAUUUGGUUGUUGUAUUACUCAAGUUUUAUACUCUCUUAUCUUUUCCUUAUUGAAUAUUAUAUGUUGCUAAAGGUUUUUAAUCUCCAAAAUGUACUAAGAAUAUCCAAAUCAUGUAGUUUCUUAAUUGUUUUUAUCCACUACAAACUAUUAUCUUUGUAUUGCUUCACCUCUAUAUUUACUCAUCUGUUUGUUUUAAUAAACGGCUUUUAGAUUGCA